rnacentral:rRNA from 1 species
UUAAAUUGAAGAGUUUGAUCAUGGCUCAGAUUGAACGCUGGCGGCAGGCCUAACACAUGCAAGUCGAACGGUAACAGGAAACAGCUUGCUGUUUCGCUGACGAGUGGCGGACGGGUGAGUAAUAUCUGGGAAACUGCCUGAUGGAGGGGGAUAACUACUGGAAACGGUAGCUAAUACCGCAUAACGUCGCAAGACCAAAGAGGGGGACCUUAGGGC